AAUGCCUAGGAAUCUGCCUGGUAGUGGGGGAUAACGUUCGGAAACGGACGCUAAUACCGCAUACGUCCUACGGGAGAAAGCAGGGGACCUUCGGGCCUUGCGCUAUCAGAUGAGCCUAGGUCGGAUUAGCUAGUUGGUGAGGUAAUGGCUCACCAAGGCGACGAUCCGUAACUGGUCUGAGAGGAUGAUCAGUCACACUGGAACUGAGACACGGUCCAGACUCCUACGGGAGGCAGCAGUGGGGAAUAUUGGACAAUGGGCGAAAGCCUGAUCCAGCCAUGCCGCGUGUGUGAAGAAGGUCUUCGGAUUGUAAAGCACUUUAAGUUGGGAGGAAGGGUUGUAGAUUAAUACUCUGCAAUUUUGACGUUACCGACAGAAUAAGCACCGGCUAACUCUGUGCCAGCAGCCGCGGUAAUACAGAGGGUGCAAGCGUUAAUCGGAAUUACUGGGCGUAAAGCGCGCGUAGGUGGUUUGUUAAGUUGGAUGUGAAAUCCCCGGGCUCAACCUGGGAACUGCAUUCAAAACUGACUGACUAGAGUAUGGUAGGGGGUGGUGGAAUUUCCUGUGUAGCGGUGAAAUGCGUAGAUAUAGGAAGG
rnacentral:rRNA from 1 species